AUGGAGAGGAAAACACUCAGCUUUACGUUCAUGCUCUUCCUUCUCUUAGUAGCUGAUGUUUCGGUGAAGACAUCGGAGGCCUUAUUAGGCCGCUGUAAGGUUAAGAGCAACAGGUUUAAUGGACCAUGCUUGACGGACACACACUGUUCAACGGUAUGCAGGGGAGAAGGUUACAAAGGUGGUGAUUGUCACGGCUUCCGUCGCCGCUGUAUGUGUCUUUGUUAG